GUGUCAGCCGCCGCGGUAAGACGUAGGAGGCAAGCGUUAUCCGGAUUUAUUGGGCGUAAAGCGCGUGCAGGCGGUUUGGUAAGUUGGAUGUGAAAUCUCUCGGCUUAACCGGGAGAGGUCGUUCAAAACUACCAGACUAGAGAGUGGUAGAGGAAGGUGGAAUUCCGGGUGUAGUGGUGAAAUGCGUAGAUAUCCGGAGGAACACCAGUGGCGAAAGCGGCCUUCUGGACCAUUUCUGACGCUAAGAUGCGAAAGCUAGGGUAGCAAACGGGAUUAGAGACCCCGGUAGUCCUAGCCGUAAACUAUGUAGACUUGGCGUUGGCGGAGUUAAAUCUGCCAGUGCCGCAGCUAACGCGGUAAGUCUACCGCCUGAGGAUUACGAUCGCAAGGUUAAAACUUAAAUGAAUUGACGGGG
rnacentral:rRNA from 1 species